rnacentral:lncRNA from 1 species
AACAUUUAUAUAUGAUGCAGAUAAUUAGAUUAAGAUUUAUGUUUCUACUUAAGGUAAUGUUUAAUAAUGACAAACGUGGGUAACUUAGAUACAAAUUUAGAAUGGUAUUUUAAGUAUACUUUUUAUAAUGAUAUGCAUGGGUAAAUUGGAUGAAAAUUAUGGGAUUACUUUAGAUUAUUUUUUAUAAUAGUAGAGCUCGGUAAUUUAGAUAUAGGUUUAAGGUUUAUUUUACAAUUUUUCAUAAUGAUAGUGGUGAGUAACUUUUUAGAAAAUAUAAUAGAUAAAUGAAUAUGAUUAUAGAGUUUACACGAUUGAUGUUUGAUGUUUCUUAUUUUUUGUGAGAAUUUCUAGAAUUUGUAUUUUUUUAGCAUGCCUUGUGAGAACUAAUGCGGAGCCUCCAAUGAAAAAAAAUAAGGUCACAUUGCUACAAAACUAUUACCUUGAGGUACCUCUCAUUUGUUAAAUAUUCGAACACAAUACUUAUAUAGAUAUAUACUUAUUAUCUUCAUCCGUUUGUGAUAGAUUUUAGGUAGUAAUUACUAUGUAACAUUUUGAUCCACAUUUAUGAUCUUUUACCUUUCAC